GAUGAAGAACGUAGCAAAAUGCGAUAAGUAAUGUGAAUUGCAGAAUUCAGUGAAUCAUCGAAUCUUUGAACGCACAUUGCGCCCGCCAGUAUUCUGUCGGGCAUGCCUGUUCGAGCGUCAUUUCAACCCUCAAGCACAGCUUGGUGUUGGGACUCGCGUUAAUUCGCGUUCCCCAAAUUGAUUGGCGGUCACGUCGAGCUUCCAUAGCGUAGUAGUAAAACCCUCGUUACUGGUAAUCGUCGCGGCCACGCCGUUAAACCCCAACUUCUGAAUGUUGACCUCGGAUCAGGUAGGAAUACCCGCUGAACUUAAGCAUAUCAAUAAGCGGAGGA
rnacentral:misc_RNA from 1 species